rnacentral:lncRNA from 1 species
GGGUAUUCUCACGAGUAGAGGAUAGAUCAAGCUCACGGUCUGUUAUUUAGGGUGGUAUAGCCAUCCAUAUCCUCAUAUGGAGCGGAUUGUUGUCGAGUACUCCGGAGUGUCGGGCGAUAGGGACCACAUGGAGGUCCACAGACAGUCCCGGGUUUGGGGGCACAUGGAGCUCCCCUACCCAAUUGGGAUGGAAAGGUGAGUUGAGGGCGAACCCAAGGGUCUCGCCAUAGAUUGGGUAAAUGGAAAACAAGUAUUGUCAUUGAACAUUAUUAUUCGAACAUGGAUCGAACUUGUUAGCAUGGUAGUAAACCCUUACUAUAUGAUGCAUGCAUUCAUUACACAUAAUUAUGGGCAUAGUAGCAUAGAUUUCCUAUUAUGUCAUUUACAGCUUUGAGAUAUCCAUCUAUAUAUCUAUCUUGUUGUUACUUGUGCCCACUUGGACCUAGUGGGGAGACCGGCGGAAUCGGCGGCCGAGCCCACUGAGAACUAUGGAAAAUAGUUCUCACCCCACUCUAUUUCUAGUGGUAGGUAUAGGGUUGCCGAGAGAGGACCACGGCAAGGGCAUCGCGCCCGAUCAGUGAGACUGUGGUAGUAUAGUAGCUUUUCUUUUGCAUUAGCACACCUAUGUAUUGAGAGAGAUUCAUGUAGGUGAGGUUUGGAGAGCUAUGUAUGUUGGUAAGCAAAAUGUAUUUAUUUUGAGAAAAGAUGUAAAUGUAAAAGAAAGCAAACUAUUGUAGUAGUUAGUAAAGUACUCUCUUUAUUUCACUUGUAUAUCUAGUGGAUUACUUGCUCUUGUUGUUGUUGGCACUGUCAGUGCCCUGUUGAUUGUGUACUUAUAGAAUUUACAUUCCUGGAUAAAUUCUUGUACUCAAUCUGUGGUUAGGCCUUGGGCGGGCAGGGGAGGUGCUGCUCGUUCGGCGUCCGUUCGCCGCGCCCGAACCGCGCCAAAUUGGUAGGGGUUUCGGGGCGGGGGGCGUGAC